GGGUUGUGAGGUUAAGCGACUAAGCGUACACGGUGGAUGCCCUGGCAGUCAGAGGCGAUGAAGGGCGUGCUAAUCUGCGAUAAGCGCCGGUAAGGUGAUAUGAACCGUUAUAACCGGCGAUACCCGAAUGGGGAAACCCAGUGUGACUCGUCACACUAUCAUUAACUGAAUCCAUAGGUUAAUGAGGCGAACCGGGGGAACUGAAACAUCUAAGUACCCCGAGGAAAAGAAAUCAACCGAGAUUCCCCCAGUAGCGGCGAGCGAACGGGGAGGAGCCCAGAGCCUGAAUCAGCAUGUGUGUUAGUGGAAGC
rnacentral:rRNA from 1 species